CCGCGCCAGGCGGCGGGAGGGAUGCGGGAACCCUCCCGGCUCUCCUGGAGCCCGAGGCAGCCCACUUCCAGGUCUUCAGGGAUUUGCUCGGCAGAUGGUAACUCCGUUCCGAUGAAGGAGCUGUUUCGGUGGAACAACAGCAGUGAAGUGAGAUUUGCACCCCAGGUCAGUCACACUGCUGUCAUCAACCCUGUCACAUGGUGUCCUGAGAACUGGGACUGACAUCAGCCACGUUGCUGAGAUCCAUCACCAUUGAAGUGCAGUCAUAGAUUUUUUGGAGCUGAAGCUCCAGCACUCAGCACUUACACGGAAAAGGAGAAUCCUACAAAUAUACAAAAUAGCCCAUAUGCUAAAGAUACAUGGCCACAUGGAGCAGUCUGUAAGUUCUCUUGACAGCUACUGUGGGUUAGCUGCAUAUUGAGAGUACACUGAUUCUUCAGAGAAAAGGAAUAGAAAACUUACAACAAUAGUGGUAAUGUGCAUAAACAAGCAAAUUAUUGAGUUCAG